rnacentral:rRNA from 1 species
GACGAACGCUGGCGGCGUGCCUAAUACAUGCAAGUCGAACGAGAGCGACCGGUGCUUGCCCUGGUCAAUCUAGUGGCGAACGGGUGAGUAACACGUGGGUAACCUGCCCAUCAGAGGGGGAUAACAUUCGGAAACGGAUGCUAAAACCGCAUAGGUCUUCGAACCGCAUGGUUUGUAGAGGAAAAGAGGCGCAAGCUUCUGCUGAUGGAUGGACCCGCGGUGCAUUAGCUAGUUGGUGAGGUAACGGCUCACCAAGGCCGUGAUGCAUAGCCGACCUGAGAGGGUGAUCGGCCACAUUGGGACUGAGACACGGCCCAGACUCCUACGGGAGGCAGCAGUAGGGAAUCUUCCGCAAUGGACGCAAGUCUGACGGAGCAACGCCGCGUGAGUGAAGAAGGUCUUCGGAUCGUAAAACUCUGUUGUUAGGGAAGAAUAAGUGCUAGAGUAACUGUUAGCGCCUUGACGGUAUCUAACCAGAAAGCCACGGCUAACUACGUG